rnacentral:rRNA from 1 species
AUUGAACGCUGGCGGCAGGCCUAACACAUGCAAGUCGAGCGAGCGGCGGACGGGUGGGUAAUGUCUGGGAAACUGCCUGAUGGAGGGGGAUAACUACUGGAUACGGUAGCUAAUACAGCAUACCAUCAGAUGUGCCCCGAUGGGAUUAGCUAGUAGGUGGGGUAACGGCUCACCUAGGCCACGCUCCCUAGCUGGUCUGAGAGGAUGACCAGCCACACUGGAACGGAGCCAAGGUCCAGACUCCUACGGGAGGCAGGAGUGGGGAAUGUUGCACAAUGGGCGCGAGCCUGAUGCGACCAGGCCGCGUGUGUGAAAGAUGCCUUCGGGUUGUGAAGCUCUUUCAGCGGGAUGGCGUUACCCUCAGAAGAAGCACCGGCUAACUCCGUGCCAGCAGCCGCGGUAAUAC